CUACGCCCACCGCACGCGCCGCUACUGGGGAGUCACGUAGCCGACGCCGAAUAGCUAGCGCGUGGCCGUGGGCGUCAACGGCCGCAGAGAAGCUACAAACUCCUAACGCAGCGAACCAGACCUCUGGAUCGCCGCCGUCAACAGCGUAGAGUCGGCCGAGGCGCACAGCUGGUUGAACAGCGCUAGCGACAUGGACCGUGAGCCCGGACGCCCGCACGAAGGAGUCGACGAGCUCCAGGAAGAACCCGAUACGAAGCCCACCGAGGUCUCGGGCAUUGCAACAAGUGCCGCCGUCGAGGAGGAGUUGGGAUCAGAACCUGAGCCGGGAGCGGCGGCAGCGGAAGCAGCAGCAGGAGAACAGGACCAGGUUGGGGCGGGAGCUCCCGACCCCAUGGUCUACGAGAUCCAGAAGGGCAGCGGCGGCGAAGAGGAGGAGUUUCCACAGGAGCCGAUGCUGGCGGACGCGGAGGAUCCGCAGCCCUCGGACAGGCAGCCACGCUUCCACCGAUGCUCGUUCCGCCGGCUGCAACUGAAGGAGCUGGAGAGCGUUUUCCAGCGCAGCCAGUACCCCAAUGUAUUCGCUCGGAAGGAGCUUGUGAUUCCAAUCGAUGGGAGCGAAAUCAAAGUGCAGUUCAGCAAGCCUGAAAACAACAAUUUGUGAGGGCAGGAAUUAUAAAACCUGCUUCAAGUCUUGGACACUUUCGUCCUAGACAUUCUAAAGUUUGUUUGUUUUCUCUUUUUUUGAUGCCUUUUCCAUGUUUAGCAAAUUAGUUUUGAUCUUUGGGGGCUUUGGCAAGUGGAAAUGGGAUAAGUAAACACCAGUUUAUGGAAAUUGCCAAUUAUCAGAAGUAAUUUUGUGAUUUCCUAAAAGAGCAAGAAAAGGAAAUCACUGUUGUUCCUAUUUCCUGUGAAAAAUUAAACAUAAUAAAAUUCAAUUUUCUUUAUUGAAC
ensembl:lncRNA rhox homeobox family member 1-like